rnacentral:rRNA from 1 species
AACGAACGCUGGCGGCAUGCCUAACACAUGCAAGUCGAACGAGACCUUCGGGUCUAGUGGCGCACGGGUGCGUAACGCGUGGGAACCUGCCCUUAGGUUCGGAAUAACUCCCCGAAAGGGGUGCUAAUACCGGAUAAUGUCUUCGGACCAAAGAUUUAUCGCCUUUGGAUGGGCCCGCGGUGGAUUAGCUAGUUGGUAGGGUAAAAGCCUACCAAGGCGACGAUCCAUAGCUGGUCUGAGAGGAUGAUCAGCCACACUGGGACUGAGACACGGCCCAGACUGCUACGGGAGGCAGCGGUGGGGAAUAUUGGACAAUGGGCGAGAGCCUGAGCCAGCGAUGCCGCGUGAGUGAUGAAGGCCUUAGGGUUGUAAAGCUCUUUUACCCGGGAUGAUAAUGACAGUACCGGGAGAAUAAGCUCCGGCUAACUCCGUG